AAAAGCUGAAAAGGGGCAAAAACUGGAGGAAGGAGAGGCGCUACCAAUGGUGGAUUGCGCACGUAACGUGUUCAUUGUCUUUUUUACUCGAAACAAAAUGGCGAAGCUUCUCCUCAAAUUCAAUUUGCAGUUCAAGCAGCUUCUAGUGC
ensembl:ncRNA C35A11.6 ncRNA